UGAACUGGGNGACUAGAGUGUGUCAGAGGGAGGUAGANUUCCACGUGUAGCAGUGAAAUGCGUAGAGAUGUGGAGGAAUACCGAUGGCGAAGGCAGCCUCNUGGGAUAACACUGACGUUCAUGCCNGAAAGCGUGGGUAGCAAACAGGAUUAGAUACCCUGGUAGUNCACGCCCUAAACGAUGUCGAUUAGCUGUUGGGCAGCAUGACUGCUUAGUAGUGAAGCUAACGCGUGAAAUCGACCGCCUGGGGAGUACGGUCGCAAGAUUAAAACUCAAAGGAAUUGACGGGGACCCGCACAAGCGGUGGAUGAUGUGGAUUAAUUCGAUGCGACGCGAAGAACCUUACCUGGUCUUGACAUGUACGGAACCCUCCAGAGACGGAGGGGUGCCUUCGGGAGCCGUAACACAGGUGCUGCAUGGCUGUCGUCAGCUCGUGUCGUGAGAUGUUGGGUUANNNNNNNCAACGAGCGCAACCCUUGUCAUUAGUUGCCAUCAUUAAGUUGGGCACUCUAAUGAGACUGCCGGUGACAAGCCGGAGGAAGGUGGGGAUGACGUCAAGUCCUCAUGGCCCUUAUGACCAGGGCUUCACACGUCAUACAAUGGUCGGUACAGAGGGUAGCCAAGCCGCGAGGUGGAGCCAAUCUCACAAAACCGAUCGUAGUCCGGAUUGCACUCUGCAACUCGAGUGCAUGAAGUCGGAAUCGCUAGUAAUCGCAGGUCAGCAUACCGCGGUGAAUACGUUCCCGGGUCUUNU
rnacentral:rRNA from 1 species